GUGCCCGCCGCCGCGGUAACACGUAGAGUGCAAGCGUUGUCCGGAAUCAUUGGGCGUAAAGGGUACGCAGGCGGAUAGGCAAGUCAAAUGUGAAAGGUGUCGGCUCAACCGACAGACUGCGUUUGAAACUGUCUAUCUUGAGCACAGUAGAGGAGAGCGGAAUUCCUAGUGUAGCGGUGAAAUGCGUAGAUAUUAGGAAGAACACCAGUGGCGAAGGCGGCUCUCUGGACUGUGACUGACGCUGAGGUACGAAAGCCGGGGGAGCGAACGGGAUUAGAUACCCCAGUAGUCC
rnacentral:rRNA from 1 species